rnacentral:sRNA from 1 species
UUUCUACUUCUGCGGAUUUUUCGCCUUUUUCUUUUUUAAGUAGUCUUUUUAGCUUUUUAUUCUCUUUUUAACCUUUUUCAUAUCAUCUUGUGAAAAUUCAAAUCCAUAACCUUCAUUAAUAACUUUUUCAGGGUCUUCACCUUUAGCCAUUUUUUCUGUCAUAUAUGAUCCAGAGUGUUUCAUAGAUUUAAUCGGUUGAGGAUUCCAUUCGUAUCCUUUAUCUUUACCAAUUGUUAGACCACCAGUAGAGUGAUCUGCUGUUGCAACGACAAGUGUAUCUUUAUGUUUCUUAG